GUGGUGAGUUGUAUUCAGCAUUCCAAAAGAUUGUUGAGCAACAGUGGCAGCUCAUCGCGGUAGGUUGCAAUUAGCCUAAUGGUAAGGCAUCAGUCGCUUAAACUGGAGACUGUAGGUUCAAAUCCUACAUUGUAAAUCAAAAAUGCAAAGACUGCCACGGUCAUGUGUGAAAAGUAUCUAAUACUUGACACGUAAGUGAAUCAAGUUUAGUGAAGCUCGCAAGGUGACACUAAUUUGUGGAGGGGGGUUCGUAAGUGGUUAGCACCACCGAAUAGCUCGCAAGGCUAACGGAAUGGAAUCCGCAGAAUAGCACAUGAUGACAAGACUACAGCCUGUCUUUAAAAACGGCGAUACUGGUAACAGACAUAGAUACCGAAAGGGUUUAUGUGGAUGUCAAGAGAAGGUAUGCUCGCAAGGUGUACUAUAAUGCUUGAGGUGUUACUGGUUAAGAUGUAAUCUCAGUCU
rnacentral:sRNA from 10 species